rnacentral:lncRNA from 1 species
GCAAUUGGGGUAUUUCUUCAAACAUGUUGAUGGGGAGCAGUUGGCCCCUCGGCUGGGUUAAUCUUUCUCGGGACAAGGCUGAGGUGAGCUUUGGGUGUCAGGUUGUUGUUUUGGUGUUUUAAGUAGUUGUAGCUUCUGUUGCUCCGACAACCGUUCUAUCUUUUGAGCUUUUGAUCAUUGUGUGUGUUAUCACUGUCUGAAGCACUAACGGUGGACUCCCUCCGCUUCUGGGUGUACCUUGACUAUGAACUCUUCUCUUAUAGAUGAGCAAGUGCUUCUGAUAAGUUUAUCCUGGAUGUACUUGAGUUUAUUUUCAAGAAUUUCAGUUCGGAGGCUUUCUGUUGUCCCGUAACAACGUCCACCAUGUAUGUUGUAAGAUAUAUAUUAUGUCACAUUCAACUUUGACGUCUACCCCAACUUGUUUGGGACUAAAGGCUUUGUUGUUGUUGUUGUUGUUGUUGCAACUUUGACGUCUACUUCGCACAACUUCAGCAUUAUCGUUCAUACAGUCAACUUUAGCAUUAUUGUUGUUGUUGUUGUUGUUGUUGUUGUUGUUGUUGUUGUUGUUGUUGCAACUUUGACAUUUCCCUGCUAUAUGAUGUGUGUGUGGUUCCUUAUGGUCAGUCACUUACUAGCUAAGGAGUUUGUUUUGGCAUCAUCUUGCUGCUCAAUUAGCUUGCUUUUUGCUCUGAGUCAUUGCUGUCCAGGGAGUAUUCUUGUCAUGUGCUUCAACUCUAUACUCUGCCUGUUUGAUUAGGCUUAGGCAACGCAACCUACCGAUUCCUUCUCGUUUGCCAAGUGCUACAACCUGAGAGAAUUUGCCUGAUUUGCUGCUGAUCUAAAUCUACUUACAUGCUUGACUGAAUUUUGAUGGGUGCUACUACUGUCAGACCCUAGUGCUGAAUCAUAUGGACAUUGCAUUGUUUGUCAGUUAAUUUGCUUGCUUGCUGCUGCAAAACUUCAGUAGAAUUUAGUUUGCCAAUUGGUGUAGUUGGAUUUCUGAAGUUUACUGAACACGUUAGAAAAUAGAUGGCUGUUGGAGCAGUUGCUUUAAUUUGUACUAUAUGCUUCCCAUUAUUAGUAUGGCUUUUCAGUUCUCAAAUUGGCCAUAGUCUAAACUGGUUUGCAGAAAUGAGGCCGGCGGAACAAACAUUGGCUGCGCGCGAGGUUGUCGUCAUGGCUGGCAAUUGGGGUCUUUCGGCAAACAAGUCCAUGGGGGCAGUUGGUGCCUUGGCCGGAUUAAGCUUUCUGUGGAUGGCGCUGAGGUGAGCUUUGAGUAUGAGGUUGGCGUUUUAGAGUUUCAAGUAGUUGUAGCUUCUGUUGCUCCGACAAUCGGUCUAUCUUUUCAGCCUUUGGUCAUUGUGCGUUCGGUAUCCGAUGUGCUAAUGGUGGAUCUCUCACUUGCUGGGAGUAGCUUGACUAUGGACCCCUGUAGAUAUUCAAGUGCUUCUCAUAAGUUUCUCCUGAGUGCACAUGACUUCAUUUUCAUGAAUUCCAAUUUGAAGGCUUUCUGUUGUCCUGUAACAACGUCCACCAUGUAUGUUGUGAGAUAUAUAUCUGAUCACAUUUGACAUUGAUGUCUACUUCGCACAACUUUAGCAUGGUUCUACAUAUAGUCAACGAUGAGAUUCCUCUUUUAUGAUUUAUGAUUGCACAUCCUAG